GCACAUUGUCGUAUAAUUGUUCUUCUUCUUCUUCCGCUUCUUCUUCUGCUUCUCCUUCUUUGAGAAUAGGUCCUGGGAUAUCAGGAAUUUCAUCAAACUCUUCUAUGCUCUCGUCGUAUUCGUUUCGGAACAUUAUUUGGGGAGGUGAGAUAUCGGUAAAAAUUGGUCGUGGAAUUUGCGUUUCAUCGAAUUUGGAAUCGUCAUAAUGAUGUUUAUCAAAUUGACUUUCAACGAACCUUCUGGCCUCAUCAAAUUGAGCUGCUUCCAUUUUUCCAGCCUUUCUUGGUGUUGCUGGAGGUGUUCGGCUGCCUCCGUCUACACCAGCAGGUGUUGAGUGACUAUGAGGCAUUUUUGAACCGAUUCCUCCACUGGAAUUCAUACCCAAAUUCUCGAUGUCAUUCAUGCCUUCUACCCUAUCAUUUAUCCCUUUGCAAAGAUCUUAAGCCCCCAGGUAUAACUUUAUACACUGCAAUGAUCGAGGCGCACAAUAAUCGAUGUUUCUGUUAAGUAGUAUUCAUCUGAAACAGUUUAUUAAUUUUUC
rnacentral:misc_RNA from 1 species